GACGCCGGGUAUCUCCGCCAGUCCGCGAGUUGUCGCGCACUGGCGCUUUUGUG
rnacentral:sRNA from 1 species